rnacentral:rRNA from 1 species
CGCACGGGUGAGUAACACGUGAGUUACAUGCCCUGCAGUGGGGAAUAGCCCGCCGAAAGGCGGAUUAAUACCCCAUGGUCCCGCAAGGGUAAAGGUGGCUUCGGCUGCCGCUGCAGGAUUGGCUCGCGUCCUAUCAGUUUGUUGGUGAGGUAACGGCUCACCAAGACGACGACGGGUAGCUGGUCUGAGAGGACGAUCAGUCACACUGGAACUGAGACACGGUCCAG